rnacentral:RNase_P_RNA from 1 species
GUUAGUGGGUAAUUGCGUGUUGCUUAUGCAGCAUGAGGAAAGUCCAUGCUCGCACUGACUGUGAUGUCAGUAGUGUUCGUGCUAGCUGAAAAAAUAAGGCUAGGCAGCCAGCAAUGGUUGACGGCCAACGAACAGCCUAAGGGAAACUAUGGCUUAAUAGUUGUGAAAGUGCCACAGUGACGAGCCUGCAAAGAAAUGCGCAGGGUGGAACGCGGUAAACCCCUCGAGCGGGCAACCCAAACUUUGGUAGGGGCGCUUGACCUAGCGAAUUGAAGUGAUGGUCGGGGAGACAGAAAUGUCUGAGAUAGAUGAUUGCCACCGUUUCUUAAACGCCAAUUUUUGAAACGGAACAAAACAUGGCUUAUAGCU